AUUCAAUUAUUCAAAAUGAAUUUGAGGUGUUGCAAAUGCUUGGAAAAAGGAGGGUUUGCUUCAGUUGUCAUGGUACAUAAAAAAUUGGACGGCUGUCUCUAUGCGAUCAAAAGAAUUCCUUUGAAUCCGAAAAGUGUAUGGUUUAAUCGCGAAAUUACUCGAGAAAAGAAGUUACUUUCUAGAUUGAAUCAUGAAAAUAUUGUAAGGUAAAAAGAAAUUUACCAUUCAAAA